rnacentral:piRNA from 1 species
UAGAUGAAUCAGCUGAUGUUCAAAUA